rnacentral:rRNA from 1 species
AGGAGAAGUCGUAACAAGGUUUCCGUAGGUGAUCCUGCGGGAAGGUUGAAUGAGAAAUCUCGGUGAUGCUAUGUUCGGUAGUGCACCUGUUUCAUGAGAAGGAGAAAGUGUAACAAGGUUUCCGUAGGUGAACCUGCGGAAGGAUCAUUACCGAGUUUUCGGGCUUCGGCUCGACUCUCCCACCCUUUGUGAACGUACCUCUGUUGCUUUGGCGGCUCCGGCCGCCAAAGGACCUCCAAACUCCAGUCAGUAAACGCAGACGUCGAUAAACAAGUUAAUAAACUAAAACUUUCAACAACGGAUCUCUUGGUUCUGGCAUCGAUGAAGAACGCAGCGAAAUGCGAUAAGUAAUGUGAAUUGCAGAAUUCAGUGAAUCAUCGAAUCUUUGAACGCACAUUGCGCCCCUUGGUAUUCCGGGGGGCAUGCCUGUUCGAGCGUCAUUACAACCCUCAAGCUCUGCUUGGAAUUGGGCACCGUCCUCACUGCGGACGCGCCUCAAAGACCUCGGCGGUGGCUGUUCAGCCCUCAAGCGUAGUAGAAUACACCUCGCUUUGGAGUGGUUGGCGUCGCCCGCCGGACGAACCUUCUGAACUUUUCUCAAGGUUGACCUCGGAUCAGGUAGGGAUACCCGCUGAACUUAAGCAUAUCAUAAGCCCGGAGGAAUUCCAAUCAUCUCGGAUGAAAACUACGUACACAACCAACAUGACAUGAAUCAGGCGGGACUACCCGCUGAACUUAAGCAUAUCAAUAAGCG